UUUCAGGACUGUUUCACCAGGAACAGUGCUAUAGAAUUCAAUUACUUUGAAAUUGUGUCAUCUUAAAUAACUGAUUUCAACCAUGGAAAAUCUGCACAGAUAAAUCUUUUAGAAGAACAUGGAAGUUCCAGUGCAUAAGUGUGCGGUGGGAGCAUGGGGUUGUUGUAGGUUAGGUAUUUAUUUUGUUGUUGGCUUACUGUGAUAUUUAUUUCUAUAAAAUCAAAGUGUACUCCAAGAGAAAGUGAGUUUUGUUGCUUACCUUGAGGGUAUCAGCAAGUCUGUGAGGUGUUUUCCAUACCAGCAAAUCUAAUUGUAAGCAAAUGGAAGCUGGCAUGCAGUGGUCCUGGGCAGGAGAUGGAGAGAGCUUAAUUUUUUUGGUUGGCUUCCUUACAGAAAUUCCUCUCCUUUUUUUCCCUGAGUUCCUUGAAGAUUCUGCUGGGUUAGCCUUGAAAUUGCAGCCAGAACAGAUGCUCACACCGGCGUGCUGGGCCGUGCCAUUUGUGUCCCUGGAAUACUGGAGGGAUUGCAGAGCUGUCUCGUGGCCUGGUGUCUUAAAUUGCAACUUCUCUCCUUGGUUUCUUUUUCCGCCGGCCUUGAGGUCAGCAGCCAGUUUUUGAAGGUGACUUCUUCCAGGACAUUCUUGUGGCAAAGCAGGUCCUUAGCUAUCGAGCUCCAGCAUGGACACUGCCUGGCAGAAGCACUGGGCAAGAGGAGAGCGCUACGAGAUCGAUGGAGGUAAAUGGGAUUUGGAGAAAUUGUACGAAGUUCAGUAAUCAUAAAUGAUACGUUUACAAAACUGUUAAGUUGUGAAAUGAAGGACUUUGGAUCUGCCCUAGGACUAAGCAUCUUCGCAGCUGAAGUGCUGACAUCCCCUUGUGAUAGCUGUUGAAGGCUAUGAUGAUCGGCUCAUUGUUCUUGUUCCUCUUUCCCCAAAUCCCAAGGACAGAGCUGCUUUAAGAUGCUUGGAUCCAGGUGGUGUUGCACUGGUCUGUUAAAUGGAGAUGCACAGAGUUCGUGCUUGAUGUCUGCCAGUAAAAGUAGUCAUUGCAAUUGUACCAGACAAACUGUUCUUAUCGGUUUCUUACUUGUGCCCUUGUGCUUUUGCUGUCCUAGUACAGAGAUCUUCCUAGAAUGCUGACCUAUACUGCAAUGCAUGAGAUGCUUAAGGUAGGAAGAAACGUGUUUGAAGACAACAACUAAAAAUGGAUGAACCUAAGCAGAGAAUGAUGUAGGCUGCUUUAAUACCGGACAAGGAUCUUUCUUUGAGCAGCUCUUGCCAGACUCAGAAGAUGCUCUGAAGGAUGGAUGAUUGAAGCAUGGAGCAAGUUCCCCCAGCUACUCCGGGCAGCUUUCUGCUGUUUUGUUCCCACAGCCCCGAGCUGUAACUGGAAACGACGGGGAUGAGAUUGCUCGCUAGAACGCUCCAGUCUGAAAAAGCCUCCGACUGACUUUUGCCUACAGGGUUGAACUGACGUUUCUCAGCAGUACCCCGAAGCCCGCUUCCAGCAGAGAUGGAUUUUAACUGAAGGAUGACUCACAAGAGGAGCUGUUACUGACACCUACCCUGAUAUCUUGCAUAAGUGUAGGCCACAGGAAUAGCAUGCAAUUCCUGUGUUAAAUCCAACUGCUUAUGGGAAGAAAGCAUCUGGAGGGUGCGGGUUGCAUACGUGCUUAAUUUAUCAGUACAAUGAACAAGAAUCCUUGGUGGAUUUUUUUUGGCUCUUAAAGAGUUCUGUUAAACCUCACUGACGUGACUUGGAAGAACAAUCAUUUCAUUCUA